rnacentral:rRNA from 1 species
UACGAAGGGGGCUAGCGUUGCUCGGAAUCACUGGGCGUAAAGGGUGCGUAGGCGGGUCUUUAAGUCAGGGGUGAAAUCCUGGAGCUCAACUCCAGAACUGCCUUUGAUACUGAGGAUCUUGAGUUCGGGAGAGGUGAGUGGAACUGCGAGUGUAGAGGUGAAAUUGAUAGAUAUUCGCAAGAACACCAGUGGCGAAGGCGGCUCACUGGCCCGAUACUGACGCUGAGGCACGAAAGCGUGGGG